GAUGAACGCUGGCGGCGUGCCUAAUACAUGCAAGUCGAGCGAACAGACGAGGAGCUUGCUCCUCUGACGUUAGCGGCGGACGGGUGAGUAACACGUGGAUAACCUACCUAUAAGACUGGGAUAACUUCGGGAAACCGGAGCUAAUACCGGAUAAUAUAUUGAACCGCAUGGUUCAAUAGUGAAAGACGGUUUUGCUGUCACUUAUAGAUGGAUCCGCGCCGCAUUAGCUAGUUGGUAAGGUAACGGCUUACCAAGGCGACGAUGCGUAGCCGACCUGAGAGGGUGAUCGGCCACACUGGAACUGGGACACGGUCCAGACUCCUACGGGAGGCAGCAGUAGGGAAUCUUCCGCAAAGGGCGAAAGCCUGACGGAGCAACGCCGCGUGAGUGAUGAAGGUCUUCGGAUCGUAAAACUCUGUUAUUAGGGAAGAACAAAUGUGUAAGUAACUAUGCACGUCUUGACGGUACCUAAUCAGAAAGCCACGGCUAACUACGUG
rnacentral:rRNA from 1 species